rnacentral:rRNA from 1 species
CCUUAAGAAAAUCCGCUAAGCAUAUUUUGCAGCUGCCCGUACCGCAAACCGACACAGGUAGUCGUGAAGAAUAUUCUAAGGUGCUCGAGAGAUUCAUGGCUAAGGAACUCGGCAAAAUAAACCUGUAACUUCGGGAGAAGGGUUGCCUCCUCUAGCAAUAGAGAGGUCGCAGAGAAAUGGCCCAGGCGACUGUUUAACAAAAACACAUGGCUAUGCGAAAUCGCAAGAUGAAGUAUAUGGCCUGACACCUGCCCGGUGCUGGAAGGUUAAGGGGGGAAGUUAGCAGCAAUGCGACGCUUUGAACUGAAGCCCCAGUAAACGGCGGCCGUAACUAUAACGGUCCUAAGGUAGCGAAAUUCCUUGUCGGGUAAGUUCCGACCUGCACGAAUGGUGUAACGAUCUGGGCGCUGUCUCAGCCAUGAGCUCGGUGAAAUUGUAGUAACGGUGAAGAUGCCGUUUACCCGUCACGGGACGGAAAGACCCCAUGAACCUUUACUAUAGCUUCACAUUGAUAUUGGGAAGAUGAUGUGUAGGAUAGGCGGGAGGCAAUGAUCUGGUGGCGCUAGCUAUCAGGGAGUCAACGGUGAAAUACCGCCCUUUAUUUUUCCGAUAUCUAACCACCGCAAGGUGGGACAUUGUGUGGUGGGUAGUUUGACUGGGGUGGUCGCCUCCGAAAGUGUAUCGGAGGCUUUCAAAGGUAUGCUCAGUACGCUUGGUAACCGUACGUGGAGUGCAUUAGCAUAAGCAUGCUUGACUGUGAGACAGACAAGUCGAUCAGGCGCGAAAGCGGGAUAAAGUGAUCCGGUGGUUCUGCAUGGAAGGGCCAUCGCUCAAAGGAUAAAAGGUACUCUGGAUAACAGGCUGAUCUCCCCCAAGAGCUCAUAUCGACGGGGAGGUUUGGCACCUCGAUGUCGGCUCGUCACAUCCUGGGGCUGGAGAAGGUCCCAAGGGUUGGGCUGUUCGCCCAUUAAAGUGGCACGCGAGCUGGGUUCAGAACGUCGUGAGACAGUUUGGUCCCUAUCUGUGAUGGGCGCAGGAAGUUUGAGAGGCUCUGACCUUAGUACGAGAGGACCGGGUUGGAGCAACCGCUGGUGUACCGGUUGUCAUGUCAGUGGCACUGCCGGGUAGCUAUGUUGCGACGGAAUAAGCGCAGAAAGCAUUUAAGCGCGAAAUCCACCUCGAGAUGAGACUUCCUUAUAAGGGCCGUCGUAGACUACGACGUUGAUAGGCUGCAGGUGUAAAGUCAGAAAUGGCAAAGCCGAGCAGUACUAAUUACCC